UUCUUUUAUCAGUAGUAGAGAGAGAUGAGGAGCUAGAGAAAGGCACGGAGAAGUGAUUAAAGGCAUUUCUUCUUCUAUGGAGAAAGAGCGACGAUGUUCUGAGGGAAAAGAGAGUGUAGUGUGCAAGCGAAAACGCCGUUGCCAUGAUUCCCCACUUUCUGAGAGAGAAACAAGCUCUCAAACCAUAGAAAAUACUACAUUCAAUCCGCAGUCUCAAUGGGUUCUCAUAGAGACUCCAUGUUCGGAAGGAAGAGGAAGAAGGGAAGGGCCGGUUUUUAAUCCGCUAAUGAUAGGGAAGGAGUGAGGGAAAGGUGAGCGCUUUGUCCAUUUGGGUACCUGAGCAUGGGGUCACGG
rnacentral:misc_RNA from 1 species